GAGCGUUUGAUCCUGGCUCAGGACGAACGCUGGCGGCGUGCUUAGCACAUGCAAGUCGAGCGAUGAAAUCCCUUCGGGGAUGGAUUAGCGGCGGACGGGUGAGUAACACGUGGGCAACCUGCCUCAAAGUGGGGGAUAGCCUUCCGAAAGGGAGAUUAAUACCGCAUAACAUUAGUUUUUCACAUGAAUUACUAAUUAAAGGAGUAAUCCGCUUUGAGAUGGGCCCGCGGCGCAUUAGCUAGUUGGUGAGGUAACGGCUCACCAAGGCCACGAUGCGUAGCCGACCUGAGAGGGUGAUCGGCCACAUUGGAACUGAGACACGGUCCAGACUCCUACGGGAGGCAGCAGUGGGGAAUAUUGCACAAUGGGCGAAAGCCUGAUGCAGCAACGCCGCGUGAGUGAUGAAGGCCUUCAGGUUGUAAAGCUCUGUCUUUGGGGACGAUAAUGACGGUACCCAAGGAGGAAGCCACGGCUAACUACGUGCCAGCAGCCGCGGUAAUACGUAGGUGGCGAGCGUUGUCCGGAUUUACUGGGCGUAAAGGAUGCGUAGGCGGAUGUUUAAGUCAGAUGU
rnacentral:rRNA from 1 species